UUUUUACAACGUUCAACGUUGUAAAAUCAAUCGAGCUAUUUCUAAAAUCGAUUCUUAAAAAUCAAUCAAAAUAAUUUUAUUCGUAAAUAAAUCAAAUCAACGCACAAUUUUAACAUUUUAAUGAGUAUAUGCUCUUUAUAUCGCGCGCUUUACCUUUAUUACAGAAAUACGAGAGAAAAAAAAAAGAAAAAGAAAAAGAAAAAGAAAGAAAAAAGGAAAAAAAAGCAAAAAAUAAUGAAAUCUAAUAAAAUCAAUUAGAUAUACAAAAAUAUUUCUAGAACGUUGAACGUAUUGUUAAACAAAUCAACUAUGAAGAGGAGGACAAAAAGUGGCAAUCAUUUUGAUGGAAAAUACGGAUGACAAACACAGCGGAGUCUUCCUUCUUUUAUAAACAAAGGGACUUUCUCUUCUGACCAACCAUAUUGUCUUACGAUCCUCGGCUUGCGACAGAACGACCGAGUCACGAUCGGAAAGAUAGUUUCGUACGGUUUGUGAUUUUAAAAGAGAGACAAAGCGACAUCCCAGACUUUCGACGACGCACCUACUACCAACUACGAUACAGAAGAACGAUUUUACGUAGGGGAAGGAUAAUGAUCGCUACCGGUGUUGCGGCAUCCUUUAAAGUUUGCUUCAUCGAAACCCUGACGCAGCAAAAAUUUCCGGCGGCUGCUCUUCCCGAAGAAGAAAGAAGAAGAGAAGGAGGAAGAUGAGAAGAAGAAGAAGAAGAAGAAGAAGAAGAAGAAGAAAAAAGAGAAGAAGAGAGAAGCUCUGGUAAAAAGGAUAGAUAAAUUUUGAAUUGUAUUUCUUUUUCUUUUUUUUUUUUCGGCCCUAUUUUAUUUUUUUUUUUUUCGUUUUUUUCUAUAUACGUCACGAUCUAUACGAGAAUUCUGAAAAUCGUUGCAUGUAUUACGCGCGGAUUUGAUUAAUAUUACCUUAAGUCGUCUUGUAAAUACUCGUAAUUACGUCGAAAUGUUUUCUUUCGUUGCAAAAGGGAAAAAACAAAAAAAAACAAAAAAACACAAAAAAAAAAAGAAAAGAGAAAAAGAAAAACAGAAAUGUUCCUAUAUAGUAUUUAAAAUUUAAUAAGACGAUAUUGCGAUGAGAUAAAAUAAAAAAAAAUUCAUUCCAUUUUAAAUAGUUAUAUCGACUUUGUUAAUCGUAAUUCGCGAACGUGAGAAACGAUUGCGUAACAAUUUGACAUUAGAGCAAUUAUCAAAGAGAACAAUUA